rnacentral:misc_RNA from 1 species
GAAAUGCGAUAAGUAAUGUGAAUUGCAGAAUUCAGUGAAUCAUCGAAUCUUUGAACGCACCUUGCGCUUUUUGGCCCUACUGAUGCGUUUGAGUGUCAUUGAAUCCUCAAGGCCCCCUUCGCCCUUCGCGGCUUUUGGGGACUUGGAUGUGGGAGCGCUGCGGGAGGCCUACAGAUUGGCCUCUCGCUCUCCUCAAACGCAUCAGUAGGGCCUCUCGGGUCUUCGCGGCGUUGAUAGUCGUCCACGCCUCGUUCCCGUUGGGGGGUUCACCUGCUUCGAAAAAACACCCUUCUCUGACUCUUUUGACCUCAAAUCAGGUAGGACUACCCGCUGAACUUAA